rnacentral:rRNA from 1 species
AUUGAACGCUGGCGGCAGGCCUAACACAUGCAAGUCGAGCGAGCGGCGGACGGGUGAGUAAUGUAUGGGGACUGCCCGAUAGAGGGGGAUAACUACUGGAAACGGUAGCUAAUACCGCAUACUAUCGGAUAACCCAUAGGGGAUUAGCUCGUAGGGGAGGUAAUGGCUCACCUAGGCGACGAUCCAUAGCUGGUCUGUGAGGAUGAUCAGCCAAACUGGGACGGAGACACGGCCCAUACUCCUGCGGAUGCAGCAGUGGGGAAUAUUGCACAAUGGGCGCAAGCCUGAUGCAGCCAUGCCGGGUGUAUGAAGAAGGCCCUAGGGGUGUAAAGUACUUUCAGUCGGGAGGCGUUACCGACAGAAGAAGCACCGGCUAACUCCGUGCCAGCAGCCGCGGUAAUAC